rnacentral:rRNA from 1 species
CACGUAGGGUGCGAGCGUUGUCCGGAAUUAUUGGGCGUAAAGAGCUCGUAGGCGGUGUGUCGCGUCGGCCGUGAAAACUUGCAGCUUAACUGUGGGCGUGCGGUCGAUACGGACAUCACUGGAGUUCGGCAGGGGAGACUGGAAUUCCUGGUGUAGCGGUGAAAUGCGCAGAUAUCAGGAGGAACACCGGUGGCGAAGGCGGGUCUCUGGGCCGUAACUGACGCUGAGGAGCGAAAGCGUGGGGAGCGAACAGG